UCCAGUACGGAGAGUGCCAGGCCAGCAGGU
rnacentral:piRNA from 1 species